AGAGUUUGAUCCUGGCUCAGGACGAACGCUGGCGGCGUGCCUAACACAUGCAAGUCUGACUGGAAAGUCUCCUUCGGGAGACAAGUACAGUGGCGGACGGGUGAGUAACGCGUGGGAAUCUACCCGGUAGUGGGGGAUAACCCUCCGAAAGGAGGGCUAAUACCGCAUAAGUCUUACGAGGUAAAGAUGGCCUCUUUACAAUGCUAUCGCUUCUGGAUGAGCCCGCGUCCUAUUAGCUAGUUGGUAAGGUAACGGCUUACCAAGGCAACAAUGGGUAGCCGGUCUGAGAGGAUGAACGGCCACACUGGGACUGAGACACGGCCCAGACUCCUACGGGAGGCAGCAGUGGGGAAUUUUGCGCAAUGGGGGAAACCCUGACGCAGCAACGCCGCGUGAACGAUGAAGGCCUUCGGGUCGUAAAGUUCUGUUCUGGGGGAAGAAACAGCAAAAAGCCAAUACCUUUUUGCCUUGACGGUACCCCAGCAGAAAGCUCCGGCCAAUUAUGUGCCAGCAGCCGCGGUAAUACAUAAGGAGCAAGCGUUGUCCGGAAUUAUUGGGCGUAAAGAGCUCGUAGGCGGUACCGAAAGUCAGCUGUGAAAUCACCAGGCUCAACCUGGUAGGGUCAGCUGAAACUUCGAUACUUGAGGGUAGAAGAGGAAAGCGGAAUUCCCGGUGUAGCGGUGAAAUGCGUA
rnacentral:rRNA from 1 species